AACCUAACAGGGUUUUCACCAUGAGGUACCCCCCUACAUUCAGUGCGAAGAGAUUGCUAAAUUCUAGAUGCCUAGCCGCAUUGCUCCCUCGUCACCUAAAAUUCUUAUUGUGAUCCUCUUGGCAGCCACCUCUACCGAUGUAUUGUUAGUUAUGGUUUCACCUACUUGAAGUGAACUUAAGAAAAACAAUGUUCUUUAGUGUACCUCUUGCUUGCUAACUCUUUUUCUUUCUGCAAAAAAGCAGAAAUAAAUGCAAUUCAUGCAGAGUAUACUGAAGCUUUUGCGCAAGUGUUUUCAGAAAGAGUCGAAUGAGAUUGCAAUGUAAUUUCCCAUUUUUAGCAUAAUGCAUUUCCAUGCAUAAUGGUUCCAAUGACUUGCAUGACAAUUUUUCUGAAGAAAAUCAAGUUGCAUUGAGCAAACAAGAUUAUAUAUGUAUAUAUAGUAGUUUGCGCAAUGAUUAUGAAUUGACCUGAUGCAUAUUCUAGCAAUUAAGUCAUUUUUAAAGCAAUAUUAAACUACUAAGAAAGAACAAAGCUGCUGUAACAUAAACAAAUCACCGCAAGUCUUCCACUAGUUGAGAGAAAUCUCAGACACAAAUUUAGGACGAUAGAGAGUGUUAGAACUGUCUUUUCUUGUGUUAAAAGAUUUGUUCAUUGAUUUUAACAAUGUAGGUUGUUAAAAACUUGAGUUUUAUACAUGGAAACAUGUUUACAUUUUAGAGUGAAUUUUAUAUUUUUAAAAUAGAAAAUAUUGAUAAACAUUACUCUUUUUAUCUUUAUUGUAUACGUCUUUUAUGUUUCAAGAUAUAUAUAAAAAAAAAAAAAAAAAGGUAUUCUUAAAAGUAUCCCAUCAGAGGACUUUUUGAGUUGAAAAUGGUGUAUAGCUGCAUAAUUGUAAUAAAAACAAGAGCAGACAUGAAAUGAAUGACAUCUCAUUUUCAUUUUUUCUCGAUGUUUCUUCAUCAAUCAUAUAUCUAUUCAUCUUCAAACAGGUGAAGGGUAAAAUUCUUCCCAUGAAUUAUUAAUUGGUGAGUUCUAUGUGUGUGGAGGAGAA
rnacentral:lncRNA from 1 species